UAGUUAUAUGCUUGUCUCAAAGAUUAAGCCAUGCAUGUCUAAGUACAUACUAAAAUAAAGUGAAACCGCAAAAGGCUCAUUAUAUCAGUUAUGGUUCCUUAGAUCAUACCCACAGUUACUUGGAUAACUGUGGUAAUUCUAGAGCUAAUACAUGUAAAAUAACGCGGACCGUAAGGAACGUGUGCAUUUAUUAGAUUCAAAACCAAUCAGUGCAAACUGUUGUUUUGAUGAGUACUGGAUAAAUUUGCAGAUCGCAUGGUCUUUGUACCGGCGACGAAUCUUUCAAGUGUCUGCCUUAUCAACUAUUGAUGGUAGUAUAUUUGACUACCAUGGUUGUAACGGGUGACGGGGAAUCAGGGUUCGAUUCCGGAGAGGGAGCCUGAGAAACGGCUACCACAUCUAAGGAAGGCAGCAGGCGCGUAAAUUACCCACUCCCGGCACGGGGAGGUAGUGACGAAAAAUAACAAUACAGGACUCACAUCCGAGGCCCUGUAAUUGGAAUGAGAACACUUUAAAUCCUUUAACGAGGAUCUAUUGGAGGGCAAGUCUGGUGCCAGCAGCCGCGGUAAUUCCAGCUCCAAUAGCAUAUAUUAAAGUUGUUGCGGUUAAAAAGCUCGUAGUUGAAUUUGUGUCACACACUAUUGGUACGCCGAUUGUGGUUGUAUACCAAUUGGUUGUGUUGACGUAUUACUGGUAGGUUUUUCAUCCCUUAAAAGAUGAGAAUCUAUAUUUAAAAAUCCCUGCCACAGUGCUCUUAAUCGAGUGUUGAGGUGGGCCAGUACGUUUACUUUGAACAAAUUAGAGUGCUCAAAGCAGGCUAUAUGCCUGAAUAUAUAUAGCAUGGAAUAAUAGAAUAGGACCUCUGUUCUAUUUUGUUGGUUUUAAGACCAAGAGGUAAUGAUAAAUAGGGACAACUGGGGGCAUUAGUAUUGCGACGUUAGAGGUGAAAUUCUUGGAUCGUCGCAAGACUAACUAAAGCGAAAGCAUUUGCCAAAGGUGUUUUCAUUAAUCAAGAACGAAAGUUAGAGGUUCGAAGGCGAUCAGAUACCGCCCUAGUUCUAACCAUAAACGAUGCCAGCUAGCGAUCCGGUGAAGCUACUCCUAUGGCUCACUGGGUUACUUCCGGGAAACCAAAGCAUUUGGGUUCCGGGGGAAGUAUGGUUGCAAAGCUGAAACUUAAAGGAAUUGACGGAAGGGCACCACCAGGAGUGGAGCCUGCGGCUUAAUUUGACUCAACACGGGAAAACUUACCAGGUCCGAACAUAUAUGAGUAAGACAGAUUGAUAGCUCUUUCUCGAAUUUAUGGGUGGUGGUGCAUGGCCGUUCUUAGUUCGUGGAGUGAUUUGUCUGGUUAAUUCCGAUAACGAACGAGACUCUGCUUUACUAACUAGGUUUUAAUAGCUCUAUGAUAUUGAUGUCGUGAUUGUAUUUAUACUUUUGCGGUGGAGUCAUAACUAUUAAAUUGUCCAAAGAUUGUCUUCUUAGAGAGACAAAUUGCGUUUAGCAAUACCGAGAGAGAGCAAUAACAGGUCUGUGAUGCCCUUAGAUGUUCUGGGCUGCACGCGCGCUACAAUGAAGGUAUCAACGUGUCCGUCCUAGGCCGAAAGGUCCGGGUAAACCGCUGAACCACCUUCUUGCUUGGGAUUGUGGACUGUAACUGUUCACAUGAACCUGGAAUUCCCAGUAAGUGCGAGUCAUAAGCUCGUAUUGAUUACGUCCCUGCCCUUUGUACACACCGCCCGUCGCUACUACCGAUUGAAUGUUUUAGUGAGGUCUCCGGACGAGAUCACUGUGACACUAUAAGUGUUGUGGUUGGUUCUUGAAAGUUGACCGAACUUGAUUAUUUAGAGGAAGUAAAAGUC
rnacentral:rRNA from 1 species